AUUGCCUAGUAACGGCGAGUGAAGCGGCAACAGCUCAAAUUUGAAAUCUUGGCCCUCGGGUCCGAGUUGUAAUUUGUAGAGGAUGCUUUUGGCGCGGUGCCUUCCGAGUUCCCUGGAACGGGACGCCAUAGAGGGUGAGAGCCCCGUCUGGUUGGACACCAAGCCUCUGUAAAGCUCCUUCGACGAGUCGAGUAGUUUGGGAAUGCUGCUCUAAAUGGGAGGUAUAUGUCUUCUAAAGCUAAAUACCGGCCAGAGACCGAUAGCGCACAAGUAGAGUGAUCGAAAGAUGAAAAGCACUUUGAAAAGAGAGUUAAAUAGCACGUGAAAUUGUUGAAAGGGAAGCGUUUAUGACCAGACUUGGGCUUGGUUGAUCAUCCCGCGUUCUCGCGGGUGCACUCUUCCGGCUCAGGCCAGCAUCAGUUCGCUGCGGGGGAUAAAGGCGUUGGGAAUGUGGCUCCCUCGGGAGUGUUAUAGCCCUUCGUGUAAUACCCUGCGGUGGACUGAGGACCGCGCUUCGGCAAGGAUGCUG
rnacentral:rRNA from 1 species